CGCGUGCCGCGGCGCGAGGCGAGGCGCGGGGCGCGGGGCGGCGCGGCGGGGCCCCUCCCCCCUGCAGCCUGGCGCGCGCGGGCCGGGCCGCACCGCUGCGGGCUCCGCGCGCGCGGGCCAUGUCCGCUUUCUGCCUGGGCUUGGCCGGCCGCGCUUCAGCACCCGCCGAGCCGGACAGCGCCUGCUGCAUGGAGCUGCCCGCCGCGGCCGGAGAGGCAGCCCGGAGUCCCGCCGCCGCCGCCCUCAUCUCCUUCCCCGGGGGCUCCGGGGAGCUAGAACUGGCGUUAGAGGAGGAGCUGGCGCUGCUGGCGGCCGGGGAGCGGCCGUCCGACCCCGGGGAACACCCUCAGGCCGAGCCUGGGUCUCUGGCCGAGGGGGCCGGACCGCAGCCGCCGCCCUCCCAGGACCCCGAGCUGCUGUCGGUGAUCCGGCAGAAGGAGAAGGAUCUGGUGUUGGCGGCCCGGCUGGGCAAGGCGCUGCUCGAGAGGAACCAGGACAUGAGCCGGCAGUACGAGCAGAUGCAUAAGGAGCUGACAGACAAGCUCGAGCACUUAGAGCAAGAGAAACAUGAAUUGAGAAGACGAUUUGAGAACCGAGAAGGGGAGUGGGAAGGCCGAGUGUCAGAGCUGGAGAGUGAUGUGAAGCAGCUACAGGAUGAGUUGGAGAGGCAGCAGGUUCAUCUGCGGGAAGCAGAUCGAGAAAAAACACGGGCUGUCCAGGAACUGUCAGAACAGAACCAAAGGCUACUGGAUCAGCUCAGCAGGGCAUCAGAAGUUGAGAGACAACUCUCCAUGCAGGUCCACGCCCUCAGAGAAGACUUUCGGGAGAAAAACUCAUCAACCAACCAGCACAUCAUCCGGCUGGAGAGCCUUCAGGCCGAGCAGGUCCUUGAAAUCAAGAUGCUGUCAGAUCGGAAACGGGAGCUGGAGCAUCGUCUCAGCGCUACUUUAGAGGAAAAUGACCUGCUCCAAGGGACCGUGGAGGAGCUACAGGACCGGGUGCUAAUCCUGGAGAGGCAGGGCCAUGACAAGGACCUACAGCUGCACCAAAGCCAGCUGGAGCUUCAGGAGGUGCGUCUCUCCUGCCGACAGCUGCAGGUGAAGGUGGAAGAACUCACUGAGGAGAGGAGUCUGCAGAGCUCUGCCACCACCAACACAUCCCUCCUGUCAGAGAUCGAGCAGAGCAUGGAGGCUGAGGAGCUGGAACAAGAGCGAGAGCAGCUGAGACUGCAGCUCUGGGAAGCCUACUGCCAGGUUCGCUAUCUGUGCUCACACCUUCGAGGCAAUGACAGUGCUGACUCAGCCGUCUCCACGGACUCCUCCAUGGACGAGUCUUCAGAAACCUCGUCCACCAAGGAUGUGCCAGCCGGCAGCUUGCGCACUGCCCUCAAUGAGCUCAAGAGACUGAUACAGAGCAUUGUGGAUGGCAUGGAGCCCACGAGCUCCCGGAGACUUGAUGAUGACUCCUUAGAAGAACAGAUAAGGCAGACCAGUGAGGACUCGAGAGCCCUAAGGGAGCUCAUGGAGGGAGAGAGGGGUAAACUGAGGCAAAGCCUAGAAGAGCUGCAGCGACUCCACAGUCAGGUGACACUGCUGAGUGUGGAGAUGACUGCCCUAAAAGAGGAGAGAGACCGACUCAGAGUCACAUCUGAGGACAAGGAACCAAAGGAGCAGCUUCAGAAGGCCAUCAGGGACCGCGACGAGGCCAUUGCAAAGAAGAACGCUGUGGAGCUGGAACUUGCCAAGUGCAGGAUGGAUAUGAUGUCUCUCAACAGCCAGUUGCUGGAUGCCAUUCAGCAGAAACUGAACCUCUCACAGCAGCUGGAAGCUUGGCAGUUUGCUUCCUCAGGGCUUUUUACUAUCUGGCUCCUUUGGUUUCUGAUCUAGUGGCCUUUCUCAGUUCCCGUAUCAACAGCUUUAGUUGUACACCCCUCCUGCCUUUGAGGAUGACAUGCACAGGGUCAUUGACCGGCAGCUGAUGGACACGCACCUGAAAGAAUGGAGCCAGCCGGCUGCCGCCCUCUGCAGGGGCCACAGCGCUGGGCGGGGGGAUGAGCCCAGCACCACUGAAGGCAAACGACUCUUCUCAUUCUUCAGGAAAAUUUAAGUUGGGAGGAGUCAGGCCACCAAAGAUGGGUGGACUGGAGGCAGCUGGAAAGGCCGUGCAGGCGAGGCCUCCCCUGCAGCUUGCACUCAGCAGCUGCCCUGCCCUUCAUGCUAGGGCCCCAUGGGUCCGGGAGGGCCUGCUCCCUUUCGUCAGUGGGGAUGGAGACCUAGAGGUGGGGGCCUGUCUUGGCCACUGAAGACUUCCCUCGGCCCACCGCCUGGCCAAGCCCACGCCUGGGCUUCUCCAGGACCCCGUGCUUGAGCAGGGUUAGGCCACCUCCCAGAGGGGCCCCUUGGUGUUGGGCUUUGCAGCUCACGCCCAACAGAUCGCAGCCCACCCCCAGGCACUGCUGCCUCCUCGACUUUAGCAAAUGGGGAACAGAAGGAAUGGAGGCCCUUCUCUGCAUGCCUCAGGAGGCCUGAGCCCCAGGGGCCUAGACCUGUGGGGGCAGCGGGCCAGGCCUAAGCCUCCAUUCCUUCCCCAGCCCCUGGCCCAGGGUAGAAGGGGAGAUGGCAGCCCCUCCCCCGCGUGCAUGCACCUUGGCUGGCAGGAGGCCAAGCCUCUGGCCGCAGGGUUUAAGAGACGGGGCUUACCCAAGCUCAGCUGAGGCCACCCGAGCCCCAGGGAGGAAGAAGGCCCUGUCCCCCGGUCGCCACUGCUCUCCCUCCCAGCCUUCAGUCUCUGCCCCUUAGCAGAGCCGGGCCAGGCAGAGUGUUGUCACCAGUCAUCUGCAGGCUUUAGCCAUCCAGCCCUUUCCCCUGCUCAAGGCUGGGGCUGGACGGGGUCUCCUCCUCCCACAGCUCCCUCCUCUACCCCUCACAUACGUAAUUUCUUGGCCCAGCCAAACAAGUCCAGGCCACAGAAUGGCACCAGAGGGAUCUGUGGUCAGCCACCCCACCUUGAGGGCAGCACAGGCACCACGGGGUGGAGGGGAGGGGGAGGCUGCCGGGAGCCUCUAGAUGCUGCCUGCCUGCCUGCAGAAGGCUGCAGCGGCUGCUGCUCCUGCCUCUGCAGCCGCCCCACCUCCUCCACCUAGGCCCCAACUCAGAGGCUCCAUGGCCUGGCCAGCCCUCAGCUGCUCACAACUGAUUCAGUCUCCCUCCCUCACGUGGGGAAAGCACAGCAGGGAUGCGCGGCAAGAAUGUACCUGUAGAUGUGUACAUACCACAGUGCUGUAAUUUUGUAUGUAGCAAUCAUGUAAAUACAUGUAUGGAUUUUAUAAUAUACAUAUAUAAAAAUCUAUAAAGGCAUAUUUUUAGAAAAACAGCACACCACUGCUUCUUUUGAAAAUAGUCUGAAUAAGAAUAAAAUGAAUUUCUACAGAG